rnacentral:rRNA from 1 species
UGAGUAAAGUGGCGUACGGGUGAGUAACACGUGGAUCAUCUACCCUGGAGUGGGGAAUAACGCUGGGAAGCCGGCGCUAAUACCGCAUAAUCCCGAGAGGGCAAAGGAGCAAUUCGCUUCAGGAGGAGUCCGCGGCCGAUUAGCUAGUUGGCAGGGUAAAAGCCUACCAAGGCAACGAUCGGUAGCCGGCCUGAGAGGGCACACGGCCACACUGGCACUGAAACACGGGCCAG